rnacentral:rRNA from 2 species
ACGGGAGGCAGCAGUAGGGAAUCUUCCGCAAUGGACGAAAGUCUGACGGAGCAACGCCGCGUGAACGAUGAAGGUUUUCGGAUCGUAAAGUUCUGUUGUUAGGGAAGAACAAACUUCGUUUGAAUAAGGCGGAGUCAUGACGGUACCUAACGAGAAAGCCACGGCUAACUACGUGCCAGCAGCCGCGGUAAUACGUAGGUGGCGAGCGUUAUCCGGAAUUAUUGGGCGUAAAGCGCGCGCAGGUGGUUUCUUAAGUCUGAUGUGAAAGCCUACGGCUUAACCGUAGAAUUGCAUUGGAAACUGGGGGACUUGAGUGCAGAAGAGGAAAGUGGAAUUCCACGUGUAGCGGUGAAAUGCGUAGAGAUGUGGAGGAACACCGGUGGCGAAGGCGACUUUCUGGUCUGCAACUGACACUGAGGCGCGAAAGCGUGGGGAGCAAACAGGAUUAGAUACCCUGGUA